rnacentral:miRNA from 1 species
ACAUAAAUCACUGGAAGAUUUUAAAAUGCAGAUUCUGAGUCAGGAUGUCAGGGAUGGGCAUGAGAUUCUGCAUUUGUAAGAAGCUGCCAAGUGAUGCUAAA